rnacentral:lncRNA from 1 species
UGUUGCAUUUUCUAUGGCUUUUACUUGCCUAGCUCUUUAAGGGAAGGUAUUGUGUCUUCCUCAGCUUUGAGGCCCCUAGCCCUAUCCCGGGAACAUUUGCUGAAGUGCAGAGAAAAGCAGAGGGCUGGCAGCAUGUAAAGGAGCCCAGGCAUCUGAGGCCCACAUGACAGUUUCAUCCUCAUCCAGGGCUGGUCCCUCCAUGUCGAGGUGGGGCUGACAAAUCACAAAGGUCAGGCUGGAUCAAACCCAGGGCAGCCCACAGUGCAUUGUGACCAGGGCUUUUAUGAGCCUCAUUGCUCAGUUAUAAAAGCCAACCUGGCCCUGCCCCGUGGAAAGAAAACAUCUAUCAAAGGCUCUGAGUUGGCCACAACUGGAUUAAGUGUGUUUGCAGCUUCCAAUCUCUAGCUGUGACAAGACAGCGUGUCUGUGCAAAUCCAGUGGCUUAAAACUCCAGGAAGCAGAUCAAGGGUUAGAAAAAUGGCCCUGAGUGUUGCACCUCCUUGCUGGGGAGCAUGAGUUGGAAGGCAUUGCCUAGGAGGAACUAUUUUGAUCUCCAAAACUCUCACCCUGACUCACCCUAAGUGAUUGAGUCAUCACUGUGACGGAUAUUGAAGACCUCAGAAGCGAAACCUUGGCUGAUACUUCACUUUGCUUCUGAAGACACCCUGGAAGCUGAGAAGUCCUCUUAGCUUUGAGUCAGCAAGGUGGCCAUGGCCAAGGAACACCCGAUGGCAUGACCUUUAGCUAAGGAGCUCAGAAAUGCCAGUGCUAACAAACAGCCAGCCCCAAGCACAGCAUCCGCCCUGCGGGGCCACACUAGAAACCCUAGGAAGACACAGAGGACCCGCUCACCUGCUUUGAUAAAAAUACAAGUUACCAUGUGAAUUUUGUGGGUUAUCUCCUUUUAUCCUUACAACCACAUUAUGAGGUGUUCUUAUCCUGGUUCACCAAGGAUGACUUUGAACCCACUGGGAGUUAAGUGACCUCCCUUCCCCCAGGCCCACAGGGCUGGUGAGCAGGGAAAGUGGAGGUUCCAUGGUACUGACUUUGGGGCCUACGCUAAUCAAUCCACUGCCCACGCUGCCUCCAUGGCCUCUUCAGGGGACGUGAUCAGCCGUUCCCUGCCCUAAUGGUGGCCUCCUGAGCUUUGGUCAUAUCCAGCCAUCCUCUCACGGCUGGGCUUUACAUUUUUUGGCCAGUAACAUGAGACUAAAAACUCCAGGGAGAAUUCAUAUCUGCACUGAUGCUUCCUGCACCCUGAAGAAAGCAGAUCCAGAAAAGCAUUUCUGUAGCUGUAACUCUGCCCAAGAAUGGGAAGCCCAUCAACUCCAACCCAAGACAGAUGAGGGCAGGUCUCCCCCUGCAUGGCACGCGUGUGUUCCCGAGAAAGAAACAUGGCGGCAAGUCACCGCCGCUCCACGUAGCCGUGGAGAGCUAAAGAGGAUUAGUUCUGAUGUGGACAAAGUCCUAAGGGAAGGUGCAUGCAGAUGGGGUCACCUCAGGGGUCUACUGACCUCAGGAACCCGUGUAGCUCCUGUCCCUCUCUUCCCUCCAGGGACACAGGAGAAAACAGAACUGGAAUUUGA